CUAUUUCAUUAUCAAUGCAUUUGUUGAAACAAAACUGCAGCUUUAAUUGGGUUCUAUUGCCUUAAAAGAUAACACUUCAAAAUAUAAUUUAUUCGAGAGAGAGAGAGAGAAACAAACAAAAAAAAAAGUUUCCCAACAGUUUCCUCAAAUAAAACUUAUGUGAAGUUUAUUUUUUAGGCAGGCAUCUUUUAGACAGACACUUUGCAUUUUGUCAAAGCUUUUCAUUAUUCUAAUCUGCUAGCAAUAAAGCUAAUAGCUAAUAAUUGAGCUGGAGUAUUUUUUUUUUUUUCUUCAAAAUGCGAUGCUAAGAUUGAAAUAUGAGAUGAAAAAGGCCUGGCUUUAUCUGACAAACUUGUAAGGUCAGUCUGAUGGCGACGCUAAACCAAUAACAGGCCGCGUGUGAGCGGUUCCUCGCGAGACAUUUCCUCACGUGACACGAGCUGACACGGCGGCGCGCCCAAGCAAUUUUCCCUUCACUUGUUCGCCAGUUACGGCUGGCCACUGACGACAGGGGCAGAGGGAGACAAGACCUGGUAUUUGCAGCUGUUUGCUUCACUUCACGCCGGCUGACAGGAAGCUGUUUUUGGCAGUGUUACAGGGGCCCAUCUUGAGCAGUUAUGCCUGACUGCAGCUCUGCUGGAUCAAGCAGCUUCUCAUUAGCCAACUGUCGCAGGAGGUUCUGAUGUCCAUCCAGUCGCCGCCGGUGUUCACGGGGUCGUGGCGGGAAAUUCUGCGUCCUUGUUUGCAUCGGAGAACGAAUGGAAUGUUGAAACUCUUAGUAGCUGUUUGGACUCUCAUUCUGACGGCACCCAUUCACUGCAGAGGAUUCAUUAGUGGGCAAGUGAUGGAGUGCUACAUUUUUCCAAAUCUUAUGAAGAAACAAACUCAUCUGCAUCUUGGAUGGCCUGAGGUGCAUGACUCGAACCCGGAACUGAACAUAACUCUCAGCAUGAGUCCAGCCCGCAGGAGGAGGAAAUAAGACGUGACACCAAUAUAACUGACAAAACGGAUGCACACUCCAUAAUGCACCAGCAGGACACUGAAACAACCACUGAUUUUGUUUCCCAAGGCAUUAAGAAAGGCUUUAAAUAACUAAUUUAGACAUAUGGAUGACAUCACUGCUUUAUGCAUAUUCUACAUUACAUUACACAUGUGCAGCACAAUAAGAAAGAAAGAAAGAAAGAAAGAAAAGCUUCCUCUUGUCACUUCCCCCCCCCCCCCCUUUAUGUUAUCCAGGCCUGUGUGUCUGCCCACCUGUAUUUUGUGGGCACAGAUUGGGGCAGCAGACGUCCAUGCGGGUAUUCAGAUUUGUGCACAAAGCCUGGUGAACAGGAAGUUGGAGGGACUUGCAUCAGGGCCCACCUGCUCUCUACAGCUGGCUGCCUGACAGCUGGAAAUUGACUCUACUGAGAUUGGUACCUGUGUCUCAGACUCAGCACUGCACACAGCCUGACUAGUGCAUUAAUGCAAUUAAUUUAGCCGGCAAUCUAAAAGCCAAAGAUGGAGAGGGAGAUAGAGAGAUGCCAAUAAAGUCAUGCCAUCAACACUAUCAUACAGUAAUGCCAACACAGCAUUUUGAAUGGAAAGAGAGAGAGCCUGAGCCAUAUCCAGUCCCCUAAUACUGUAUAUUUAAUAUUUGCAAAAAAAAAAAAAUAUGUAUUUUUUUUUCAUCAGCUAUGAGGCGUUUGUGUGUGUGUGUGUGAGAGAGAGAGAAUUAAUGACUCUCUUUUUUUUUUUAACAAUCAGUAUUUUUAUUUGAUUUUGUUUUGUGUCUGCACAUGCUUAAAAAGAUAUUACACGUUAUUUAACCACCUAAAUCAGAGAUGGCAACUUUUCAUCUUUCAACUGUUAUUAAAAAACGUUUUCAUGUUUGUUUAGAAUCAUGUCACAUUUGCUUACCUAUUAUUAUUAUUAUUAUUAUUAUUAUUAUUAUUAUGAAUUAUCAUUUAGGAAUUAAAGGCUUUUGGGUAUAUUUUUGUAAAAAAAAAAAAAAAAGAUUUCAAUCUAGGCUAUAGGCUACAAAUAGGAAAAUGUUGAAGGUGUGACCCAAGUCUUAUCUAGGCACUCUCAUCAUAAAGACUUGGCCAUGGGCUCUUUUUAACUUGGGUCGAUAAGUAACUGCCUAGCAACAUCCUAGCAACCCAAAACCUAAAAUACCUUGGCAAUGCUGCAAACUGACUCCAACAUUAUGGUGGCAAGCUCUUGUUGGCCAAACACCAUGUUUUCUACACAAAAUUUAAAAAGUAAAUUUUAUUUAUUAACAUUACAGUCUGCACUACUGUUGUUUCACUGCUUGUGUACUGCACUGGCUAAACAAAUGUGCCGUUUUGGCGUGCCAACAAGCAGAGUAAAUUAAAAAUCCUUGAGAGAGACUAAAAUGUAUUCUCUCUUCCUGUUCCUCCCAGACAUGAGCACAUCCUCUCAGACUGAGCUGCUCUGAUUCGAGCAGAGAGAUGGUACAGGAUUGAUUAGACUCCAGAGAGAGAGAGAGAGAGCAAGGUUUGAUGUGUGAGGAUGUGAGCGAGGCUCUCAGCAGGCCUAAGUGCUGAGAGUCAGGAGUCUGCAGGCAGAUAGAUGCUGAAUCAGCUCUCUUCACCUGACCACAGAGACACUGAGUCUGACACCAGCAGCCAACGGCCCAUAAAGACGUGCAGUGUGUUCACAAACAACAUUACAAUAAUACUUUAGCUGAACACUGGGCUGUGGAAGGACCAAAAGAGGAACACCUGAGUACAGGGAAACAACAGCAAUGAUCGAUCAUGAAAAAUGUGACUUGAUUUCACCUUUAAGCAUUAUGCAUUAAAAAAUCAGUGUACAGUAAAAAAUCAGUGUACAGUGUAAGGAUCAUCGCCUUCCAUUGUCACUUUCAUCACAAAAGUGCGGAUGCAGAAGAUCGUGAGGGAUUAGGGUUUGAUUUGAGACAGGGCCAUAAAAUUCUCCAAAGCAUUUGAUUAAAUUUCAUAUUUGAAAUCACCCAUCAAAUAUGACAACAACUGUCUCAUAAAUGUUGUUUCUUAUGCUCAAAUAGCAUUCAAAAUGUUGUUUCAGGCUAGUCUUUGGCAAUACCAAAUAUUAUACAGCCUUUUUAUUCUUCAGAAUACUCUUGAUGCAAAUAGGAUUAUCCUUUGAUGAAAUAAAACCAUUUCAAAUACAUUUUGAAACAUGGUUAAUAAUCAAUGAGGAGUCUUUUUUUUUUUUUUUAUUGAAUAAAUCUUUCAGUUUCACUGGGUUAAAAGAUAAAAAGGUCCAAAUAAAGUUUUAUCAUUAAAGGCAAGACUAAAACCAUUUUUUUUAUUUUCAGGGUCAAUUUUGAGAUUUUUUAUUUUUUUUUUAAGUAGUGGAAAUUAAAUAUUUUUCAUUACACUUCAACUGUUUGCAUUGUAGAUUUCAAUUACAAAUCACAUUUUUCACUGUAUUUUUUUUUCUUCUCAUGCACUGUGCCAGAAAUCUCCAUCCAAAAUAUUUUAUUCCUAUAAUAUGAUUGAUUGAUUGAUUGACUGACUGACUGACUGACUGACUUAUUAACACUAAUUUCGACAAUUGGAGCCAAGUCACCAUUAUCUUUCAUGCCACAACCAGAAACAACCAUGGACACAGUGGGCAGAAAAAAAACUAACAAACAAAAAACUAUAAAUAAUGAGGCUUGAUAACUCAUCGUUUUAUAUUGUGGCUGUAUUUGUUCACGGUCUUGAGAUGCUUGAUAAAAUCUUAACAACAUCAUCAUGGUCCAGGAGUUUGAAAGAAGAAUGUGAGCCUAGAAGCAGAGCAUGUGUAAUCAGGGUUCUGGUGGCAUGAGGGGCCCAAGGGGCCCGGACUCAAUCAGGACUGAGCCUGAUGGACUAUCGAGAGGACACAGUGAGCAAUCUCAUCUUGUCAUCUACUGAAGAGUGAAGACACUACUAAAGCCUUCUCUGGACUGCACAAGAACACACUGUAAACUCUCGAGAAUGUGCAGAUACAUUUAUACACUACAGAUCAUAUACUUUUAUUGAUUCAAUUAUUAAUGUUAUAUUUUUUUCAUUAUUAUUAUAAUACUUUUAUUAUUUUUCUUUUUUUAUUAUUAUUAUUGAAAUCGGUCUGAUCUGGACUGUUGUUAUAUUUUUGUACUGUGUAUGUACUAAAUAUACAAAACAAAUAUCCACAUUUUCACUUACAACUUAAAAUUUAAUAACAUAAAUAAGUACACACACACACACACACACAUAUAUAUAUAUAUAUAUAUAUAUAUAUAUAUAAACAAACAAAAAAAUAAAAACAAUAAGUUGUGCACUGUAAAUUGUCAAUGUAUUGUUGAAAUGUAAAUGUAUCUUUAUUAUUAUUUUUAUUAUAAUUAUUAUUGGUAUUAUUGUCUUAAAUUGGACUGAUAUGUUUUAAUAUAUAUAUAUAUAUAUAUAUAUAUAUAUAUAUAUAUAUAUAUAUAUAUAUAUAUAUAUAUAUAUAUAUAUGUAUAAAAU
ensembl:lncRNA